CGGAAUUUGAACCCUGGUGGGUUGGGGAUAGCAGGGUCCACCUAACCAUCUCAACCACAUGUUGGUUCGCUCAGUCGCCCUUCUAUUAUUAGGUAGAGAGGUAGAGAUUUCUCGGGUUAAGAUCGGGAAGGCUUCUUUGGCUGGAGAGAGGAAAAAGGUGAAAGGAGAAACAAAGGCUCAUCGUGUAUGUUUUUUUAAGGCCGUAUGUUUUUUCUUUUGAUGGUAGUCAUUAUUCCAGGAGUUGGGCUGGAUCAUUUUAGAAAGGAGUUGGGCUGGAUGGGCGUGUCCAGCAAGUUCUUCUACAAAAAGAAAAUCUAAAAAAAACAGCUUUUCUUUUUUUUUUUGCCCGGAAAAAAUAAACACGACAGUGUGUACUCUAUUUUUUUCUGAUCAAAAAAUGUGCACCGUUUCUAUUAGAAAAGGACCAACACAUAGAAAAUUUAAUAAUCGCUUUGAAAAAAGGAAAUUUAAUAACCCAUAACAUAUAUGAGAAUCACUGAUGGAAUUUUUGGAUAAGGGUAUGAUCAGAUACCUGAUGAUUGUAUAAUUGUAGGUACGAGAAGGUCAUAUUUGGGUGCAGGGUGACAAUAUUUAUAUAUGCAUCUAAUGACUUAUAUCGCAAAAAAAAAAAAAUGCAUCUAAUGACUCGAGGCAGUUUGGACAUGUGCCUUAUGGUCUCGUACAAGGGAAGAUGUCCUAUCGGGUAUGUUGAGUAACUUUCUGUUCUGCUUCCCCGUUAGCUUAAUGAAAAGCCUGAUGAAGCUUUGGUGUGGUUCUGUACCCUGUCGUAAGAUUUACAUGUACAGUUUAAAAUUGCCCAAAUAAGAUUUCCCGUCCACUUUGGGAUCAGGUUUGUUUUUGUCAUUGUUAACUAGUGAUGCUCUUGAACUUAAUUUUUUUAGUAACCGAUUUAAAACUGAAACUGACAUGUUAUAUCUUUAUUACAUGCUGUGAAUAUUAGGGCAAGUAAUGGAGAAAUUCACUUUGGCUCAUAGGUGUAGAUGAACCCAUUUUCUAAAUACGAAUUUUAUAAAGUAAAAAAACAUCAAAUAAAAAAAUCCCGUGUGUAUAUCCGGACAUUAUGUUCGUGCACAAAGUUUCGGUGAAAAAGGAAAAAUUUUGUGGCUUGUGUAAGAAAGAAUUUUUUUUAUGCUUGAUUAUAACUAUUCAGGAGACAUUUUUUUUAAUCUUUUUUAUACAUGCCACAAAAAAUGUUUUUUCUUUGUGACAUUUUGUGUGCGAGCAUAGAAUGUCCGGAAUGUACACGCGAAAUUGUUGUUCGGAAUUUUUAAUAUUUUAAAAUGUGUUUUUUAUAUAUUUCAAAAUAGAUGUAUCUACACCUAUGAGCCAAAACUCCACUCUCCAAGUAAUGAGAAUAUUCCAAGUUUAAUUUCAAGUGCUUCGGCGUCCUUCCAUUUCAUAAUUCUUAUCGUGGUUUUAGAUCAAAUUCAAACUAAAACCACGAACGUCGGAGUAGUGCUUACUAGAGUAGCAACAGACUCAAGUUACGGUUGGAGCAGUUCCUCACUGCCUGCAGAAAUAAACUUUUUCAGUCCAGGCAGGCAGGCAUCCUCAGAGGAACGCAAGAACUUUCUUUAGGCUUUACAACGGUAGCCAAUCUUUGGCACCAAACAAAUUAUGCUUCAAGCGAUACAUAUAUUCAGCCUGGCAGUCAGCAAGACUCCGAUGACGCGACACUGACUGACACUCAGACAAAACAUCUUAGGACUUCAGACUUACACUCUCCUCUUUUUCUUCAGAAUUCAACCACGCGCAGAUAGAUGAAACGCAAAAGCUUCUUCAGGCGUGAAGCUUGUUGUUAAUGGAACGGCGUGUCAGUGAUAGGAUCCGAGUUGGAUGAAAGGCAGGCUAGGUAAUCGCGGCUUUCAGUGCUUACAUCUCACCGUAAAUUUGAAACGCGGAAGAGUGUUUCAGACUAAAUUAUCAUCUUCUUCAGACUAGACAGAACAUUUUCUCGCUGCCACUUCUUCGUGCAGAAAUAUACUUUGUACCGAAAUACUUGUAGCUGGGGUCUCCAACUAUAGCCGACCUGGAUGCAAAUUCAAUUCAGAAGGCGCUCACAUACAGCACACAAAAACUUUCUUCAGACUAACACUCUGAAUUUGAUCAAUUAUCUCCAAAUUUGAUCAGAGGCAGUUCGAAAGCAUCAGAAAAGAAGGCAAUGUAUUUUUUCAGACUUAAAAACUCCUGUUUUUUUCUUGAGAAUUCGACCAUACAGGGAACAAACUCCCUCAGUUCUCACAUCUCAUACAUCGCCAAAAGACACAUAGUGACACUGAUAUUUGACCCGAGAGUCAAACAAGAAGGACACUGACACUACCGGACUAACUUCACCUUGACACGCAGCGACCACUAGGACUCACUCUCACUCACCAUGGACAGACACUGCUCAUCUUCUUCUCCUCCUGAUUGGAAUGAACUGAAAUUCUUCAGUCGACCUCCUCCAUCUUGCUCUCCUCGGCGCCCUCCUCCUCCAGCGCGGGCAUGUCAGCAUCCUCCUCCUCCGCAUCGGCCUGAUCAUCGAUGUUGAGCCCGAGCUUGAGCAUGCGGUGGAUCCUGGCGGCGAAGGUGUUGGGGUCGUCGAGGCUGAACCCGGAGGUGAGCAGCGCCGUCUCGAAGAGCAGCAUCACGAGGUCCUUGACGCUCUUGUCGUUCUUGUCGGCGUCGGCGCGCUUGCGGAGCUCCUCCAUGAUGCCGUUCUCCGGGUUGAUCUCCAUGGUCUUUUUGGAGGACAUGUAUGCGCCCAUGCUGCUGUCCCUCAGCGCCUGCGCCUUCAUGAUCCGCUCCAUGUUGGCCGUCCACCCGUACUCGCCGGUCACCAGGCAGCACGGCGAGUCCACGAUGCGGUCCGAGACGACGACUUUCUCCACCUUGUCGCCGAGGAUGUCCUUGAUGGUCUUGCAGAGUCCCUCGAAGGCGGCCUUCUUCUCUUCCUUGCGCUUCUUUUCUUCUUCAGUUUCUUCGUCGAGCUUGAGCCCCUCCUUGGUGGCGGAGACGAGCUUCUUGCCGUCGUACUCCUUGAGCUGCCCGACGGCGUACUCGUCGAUGGCGUCCACCAUGAAGAGCACCUCGUAGCCGCGCUUCUUGAGGCGCUCGAGGAAGGGCGAGUUCUCGACGGCCUUGCGGCUCUCGCCGGUGAUGUAGUAGAUGUCCUUCUGGCCCUCCUUCAUCCGGGUGACGUAGUCCUUGAGGCUGGUGAGGUCGUCGCCGCUCUUGGUGGAGUGGUAGCGGAGGAGGUCGGCGAGCUUGGCGCGGUUCUGCGAGUCCUCGUGCACGCCCAGCUUGAGGUUCUUGGAGAAGGCCUCGUAGAACUUGGCGUAGUCCUCUUUAUUCUCGGCGAUCUCGAAGAAGAGCUCGAUGCACUUCUUGACGAGGUUCUUGCGGAUGACCUUGAGGAUCUUGUUCUGCUGCAGCGUCUCCCGGGAGAUGUUGAGGGGGAGGUCGUCCGAGUCGACGACGCCCUUGACGAAG
rnacentral:lncRNA from 1 species